AGGAGUAGAAUAAGAACAGUCAUUUGGGCUGUACUUGGACAUUCAUCCUUCCUACAGUUGCAACUCCUUGAUUUUGUUGCUGUUAAUCCUAGUACUUUGUUACUAUAGCACAUUUCCAGAUUUCCUAUUCUGGAAGUUAUUGAGUAUGUUAGAUGCCUACACACCACUUCAUAAUUUUGCCCUUUGUUCUGUGUGCCUCAGACAGACUAACUCCAAUUUGUAUUUCUGAUUUACCCUGGACAUCAGAGCCUCUUACAUUAAGAACUAUCAAUAGAGGGAACUCCUCACUUCCAUAGGACAUGGGUUCUGACAGAUUCUAGUUUAGGUUGGAUUGAUCUAGAUUACAGUUGCAGUUGCUGUUAUACUCUGAGAGAAUAACAGCAGCUCUGAACUUAACUCUGAGUUUAUGUUUGCAGUCUUACCAUCUCCUACUUCUAACUUGUUUAGCCCAGGUGUCCAAUGGCUGAAGCUAACAUACAGCAAACACCUAUACAGUGAAUUAUUUGCACUUCUUAACAGCUUAAGAAAUGGCAUACUACCAAGGUGGCAAUUAAUCACCCAGAAAUGAAGACUCAGCACUGGGAAAAUGUUCUUAACUAGCAUUUGAUUAGUAUUCAUCUCCCAUCUUUCUACACUACCAAGAUUUGCUUAAUAUAAAACUUGCAGUUGAAGCAGUAGUGAGGCUGGGAAGAAGAGGACAGUUGAAUGCUUCUCCUCUCGAAAGUAUAUGGGUAAAGCAGCAGACACACUUGAUCUGGGAAGGAACUGAUAGAAGUGGAAGUGAUUCAGAAGGGCAGCUGAAGAACACAGCUGAAGAAGAAUAAAAUACCUUCUCUUAAGGUGA